rnacentral:misc_RNA from 1 species
GAUGAAGAACGUAUCGAAAUGCGAUAAGUAAUGUGAAUUGCAGAAUUCAGUGAAUCAUCGAAUCUUUGAACGCACAUUGCGCCCCUUGGUAUUCCGAGGGGCAUGCCUGCUCGAGCGUCAUUAUAACCCCUCAAGCUCAGCUUGGUGUUGGGGCCUGCUGCACUGGCAGCCCUUAAAAUCAGUGGCGGCGCCAUCUGGCUCUAAGCGUAGUAAUUCUUCUCGCUAUGGAGUCCUGGUGGAUGCUUGCUAUCAACCCCCAAUUUUUCUAUGGUUGACCUCGGAUCAGGUAGGGAUACCCGCUGAACUUAAGCAUAUCAAUAAGCGGAGGA